rnacentral:rRNA from 1 species
GAUGAACGCUAGCUACAGGCUUAACACAUGCAAGUCGAGGGGCAGCAUGUCGGUUGCUUGCAACCGACGAUGGCGACCGGCGCACGGGUGAGUAACGCGUAUCCAACCUACCCUUGUCCAUCGGAUAACCCGUCGAAAGGCGGCCUAACACGAUAUGCGGUUCACCGCAGGCAUCUAACGUGAACGAAAUGUGAAGGAGAAGGAUGGGGAUGCGUCUGAUUAGCUUGUUGGUGGGGUAACGGCCCACCAAGGCUACGAUCAGUAGGGGUUCUGAGAGGAAGGUCCCCCACAUUGGAACUGAGACACGGUCCAAACUCCUACGGGAGGCAGCAGUGAGGAAUAUUGGUCAAUGGACGGGAGUCUGAACCAGCCAAGUAGCGUGCAGGAUGACGGCCCUAUGGGUUGUAAACUGCUUUUAUAGGGGGAUAAAGUGUGCCACGUGUGGCAUAUUGCAGGUACCCUAUGAAUAAGGACCGGCUAAUUCCGUGCCAGCAGCCGCGGUAAUACGGAAGGUCCGGGCGUUAUCCGGAUUUAUUGGGUUUAAAGGGAGCGUANGCCGUCUUAUAAGCGUGUUGUGAAAUGUCGGGGCUCAACCUGGGCAUUGCAGCGCGAACUGUGAGACUUGAGUGCGCAGGAAGUAGGCGGAA